AACGAACGCUGGCGGCAUGCCUAACACAUGCAAGUCGAACGAUGCUUUCGGGCAUAGUGGCGCACGGGUGCGUAACGCGUGGGAAUCUGCCCCUCGGUUCGGAAUAACAGUUAGAAAUGACUGCUAAUACCGGAUGACGACGUAAGUCCAAAGAUUUAUCGCCGAGGGAUGAGCCCGCGUAGGAUUAGCUAGUUGGUGUGGUAAAGGCGCACCAAGGCGACGAUCCUUAGCUGGUCUGAGAGGAUGAUCAGCCACACUGGGACUGAGACACGGCCCAGACUCCUACGGGAGGCAGCAGUGGGGAAUAUUGGACAAUGGGCGCAAGCCUGAUCCAGCAAUGCCGCGUGAGUGAUGAAGGCCUUAGGGUUGUAAAGCUCUUUUACCCGUGAUGAUAAUGACAGUAGCGGGAGAAUAAGCCCCGGCUAACUCCGUGCCAGCCGCCGCGGUAAAAC
rnacentral:rRNA from 1 species